rnacentral:rRNA from 1 species
GAUGAACGCUGGCGGCGUGCCUAAUACAUGCAAGUCGAGCGAACGGACGAGAAGCUUGCUUCUCUGAUGUUAGCGGCGGACGGGUGAGUGACACGUGGAUAACCUACCUAUAAGACUGGGAUAACUUCGGGAAACCGGAGCUAAUACCGGAUGAUAUUUUGAACCGCAUGGUUCAAAAGUGAAAGACGGUCUUGCUGUCACUUAUAGAUGGAUCCGCGCUGCAUUAGCUAGUUGGUAAGGUAACGGCUUACCAAGGCAACGAUGCAUAGCCGACCUGAGAGGGUGAUCGGCCACACUGGAACUGAGACACGGUCCAGACUCCUACGGGAGGCAGCAGUAGGGAAUCUUCCGCAAUGGGCGAAAGCCUGACGGAGCAACGCCGCGUGAGUGAUGAAGGUCUUCGGAUCGUAAAACUCUGUUAUUAGGGAAGAACAUAUGUGUAAGUAACUGUGCACAUCUUGACGGUACCUAAUCAGAAAGCCACGGCUAACUACGUG